UACUCGAGUGGCGAACGGGUGAGUAACACGUGGGUGAUCUGCCCUGCACUUCGGGAUAAGCUUGGGAAACUGGGUCUAAUACCGGAUAGGAACCAUCUUUAGUGUGGUGGUUGGAAAGUUUUUUCGGUGUAGGAUGAGCUCGCGGCCUAUCAGCUUGUUGUGGGGUAAUGGCCUACCAAGGCGGCGACGGGUAGCCGGCCUGAGAGGGUGUACGGCCACAUUGGGACUGAGAUACGGCCCAG
rnacentral:rRNA from 1 species